GUCAAACAAAUACACAUUGCGCUUCGCAGUUGGAGCUCCACUGACAGAAGAAAGACAUGUAGUUGAUGCUUGGAAGGUUCUGCAAGUUGAAGCUUCUAAUCUGCUAAGAACCCUGUAGAAUAUUGCAAUUCUUUCCACAUCACAUAUAGUUAUUUCUUGCUCAAUUUGUGUAUGUGAUGCCUAGCAUCAUUGUUUAAACAUCAUUUUUAUUUUUAAAGAAUCUGUUUUUACUUUUUACCUUUUGCUGCGACGUUCUUCGCUGCAAUCUUUGUCAAAAAGGGUACACUGCGAAAGAUGUUUCGUGUAUUUUUGGCUACAAGCCUUCUUUUUCAUUGUUCCAUAGUGAUUUUGCUCCGGUUGCUCCACUUGGGCUACCAACCUUCCUUUUCAUUAUCUUUUUGAUGGAUCCGUCGAUAUUUUGGUCGUCUUCAGAGUACUUGUUUGUAGUAUACUGAUUACAUGUGUCUUGAGAAUUUUCUUGUGUUCUGUUCCUGUAUUUAAGUAUAUUCUCCAUUAUUGGUCUUCUGCCCAGGGGACUGAUAAGGAAUUCAGCAUCAAGCAAAUAAUGUGUCAAUAUCACCACCUUAUCCUCUCCGCAUCUUGCUUUAGUCACAUCAACAUCCGAUUUUUUCUAUCGACUAAAUCAUGGUUAUUUGACUCAUGUUGCAUAAACUUCAAUCCUGCAAGAUAGAACGCUCAGGGGAUAAUUGGAUCUUCCAUCCUCUAUUCCCCUUCUUGGUCAUUCGAACUUCUAAUCUUAAAAGGCACAAAGUGAAGUUACUGUCCAUGUUGAAGAGGACAGCUACAUCAGAGUAAGCGGCUGAAAGAGUACAAGUUCUUCCUCUCAAGUGGUUAUGCCACUCUAGUGUAUCCGAUGCUUCCCACCCCCAGCCUUCAAGGAAUCAAAUCCUAAAGGUUGGAGACGACAAGAGAAUUGAUUCGACUUCCCUGUCCAAAAGGCAUUCAGCUUUAGCUGAGGAUGAAUCUUUUCGAUGGAUAUACCAAAGGAGAUGCUAUCUCAGUCUAUAGUGCUUAGAAUUCUGAGAAUGGUACAUGUCUUCACAAUGGUUCUCCUUUGCUCUGUGUCGAAAAAGCUUGUCUGCUGAUCCCGUGGUAACAAAACCAACCUGUAUGAAAAAGAAGCAGAAUAAAGCCCGUCAGAAUAAGUUAAGAAGAGAUGUUCUAAAAAAAUUCCAUAAUCCAAGAAACGACCUUCAUGAUGGGAUCAGACAAGCCAACUACCUCCUGUUGAAUCACUGUCGGCGUACGUCACCCUAAACCUAAAUGGGACAUCAACCCGAGAGGAAAAUGGAAUCGAGCCGAUUAAUGAUUUUCUUUUUUCCUAGCAAUCCUGAGUUGCAGGAUCUGUCCAUGCAAAGAAUCUUUUUCUGGACCGGAAUUGGAGCAAGAAAGCCAGCUUGCGGUGAUGUUUUAUGGGUUGCUUGCUACUAAGUUUUAUAAGAUGACCGUUUUUGUACAAUCCAGCCCAUAGCAGAAAGAAAAGAUUCAAGAAAUAUGCACAACUUAUUUGAAUUCUGCGAAAUGGGGAGUUUCGUGAUUGUCAAUGCGCUUGAUCACUCUUUCCAGAAUAGACAGACUCCAGAGAAGUUAGUAGCAGUAUCUGCAGAACUUACUCUUUGUGUUUAUUUACAUUUCUUAAUUAAAAUUAUAUUUUUAAAAAUAUAACAACACCCUUUAGACCCAAAACAAAAAAAAAUAGCAAAAACUCUUUAAAAAUUGCAGGCCAAACAGCCUGCGAGUGUCUGGUCAGACCGUCGGCUGGUUUGGCUGUCCUACCACAGCGAGUGUAGCUUUCGGUUUGGCUUUUCUGGGUUUGAACUUUCAUCUGUCUCCUUUGGGUGGCAAUGAUGGGUCGUGAAGAUUCCAGCUGGCCAACCCCACCACCUCUGCACGCGCUCAGGAGGAACCAGGCAAAUUAGCAUCAGCAGCGAAGAGAAAUGGGAAAUCUUUUACUACCGUCAGGAAUUUAAAACGUGGAGCAAUAAUUUUUUUUUCACAUGGGUUUUUUUUAUAUUAAAAAAAAAAAUUUGUUGUGCUUUCAACAUGGAAUUUGUGGUGAAGGAACGAGGAGUCCUUGAUAUAGUCCUUUGUUGUUGUCCUUUUUUUUUUUUCAUCACGGUAGAUAUUCGAGUUUACACCUGACUAAUUCCACAAUGCUCCAACAGAACACGUCCGACCGAUGUUAAAGAAAAUAACAAUUGAAUUGCUGCUCGGAAUCGAACCCAGAUGAAACUCAUUUAAAAAGGCUACUUCCACCGGCAGACAAUCCAACGCGGGCAGUCCUUUGUUGUUGUCGCUUCUAAUAAUCAGUCAUAGUACUGUAGUGGUGCUGCUGCUGCUGUUAUGCCUUUUUCCUUGUGAUGGCGUGCCACAAAACUGCAACUUUAGUGUCUCUCCCGCCGGGGAGGGGGGGGGGUGGUGGGGUCCAAAAGCCAAAAGGCAAUGCAUCUGGCAAUUAGCACAUUUUAGCGAUUGGAAUAUUUGGUAGCCGCUUGAGUUGCAGACCUUCUUUUAUUACUGCUUUAUAGUAACAACAACUAAGCCAUUAGUUGGAAUCCACUCCAAAUUACAAAGCCUUUAAUCACAGGGGACUUUUAAUCUCCGCCGACCCCAGCUAAUGGGCGUGAUGUGUACGGUUUUCCACCAAAAAGGUGUUGGUUCAGGAAUUCGGCUGGAAUCCCACGGAGAAGAUGAACCCCAAAAGAACUCAUAUCUUAACGAGUCAUGAUUCCAAAUCUUGUUUGGCCCUGAUGUUCUAAUCUUGGCUAGACACAUCCCGUCCAGGGCCAAGGAAAUGCCUCUUGAUUUGCAUUUAAUUUUAAGUGAAUGCCAUUCGAAUAUCAUUGCGAUAUUAGCAAAAGCUUCUUUAAGCAUGAUUGAUAGUCUUGUUAUGAGUUAUGACGGGGUCCAGUCAAAGGAACAUUCCGAGGUUUGAUCGCUGUGUUGGGGGAAUAAAAUAAACGUCAUUGGGAUAUCAGGCAUUCGAGUAUGUACCAGAAAAGCCCUCGGGAUUCCCAGUUAAUGGGGAUGUUUUUGUUUGGCACAGGCUGAUUGGUUUGGGAAUUGGGACUAACAUUUUUGUGCUUUAGAAAAAUUCCCGGUUAAUAAAGAUAGUUUUGUUUACAAGGGGAAGAGCCAUAAUUAGGGAUGACAAUGGGGCGGGUGACUAAUAGGGAGGGGGUUGGGGCGGGGGCGGGGGAAUUUUUUCCCUCAGCUUAAAAACGGGGCUUUAAAAAAAAUAAAUAUAUAAAAUAUAUAUGUAUAUAAUUAUAUAUAUAAUAUAUAAUUUAAUUAAUUACAAAUUUAUGAUAAUGAUAUUAUUAGUUAUAUAUAUUAUAUAAUAUCUAUUAGUAUAUAUAAUAUAAUUGAUAUUAUUAAUUAUACUAAUAAUUAUAUAUGUGUACUAAUACAAAUUAUUAAUUGGUUAUACUAAGUUUACUAAUACAAUUAUAUUAAAUCCCUAAUUACACUUAAUAUAAUAACAUUUUUUUCUUCAAAAAAGCACAAGCACAAUAAUGAAUUAGUGAUUGUAUUUGUGCCAAAAGUGAAAACUUGACUGUUUUAGUUAUAUUUAUUUCAUCAUGUUGGAUUGUAUUCAAAUAAUUUUAUUUGAUUGUUUUUAUAAGUUUCAAUUGUAAAAUUACAAUAAAUAAUAAUUUGAUAAUGUGUUGAUAUUUUAGUACUUGAUUAUUUACUAAAAUUUAAUCAUAAUAAAAUUAUAUAACAAAUUUUUAUUAAUCCCGUGAGGACAUCCAUAAAAGAAGCGAGGCGAGACAAGGACGGGGUGGGGGAGCGGAGGACGGGGGAUGGGACGGGAGCGAUAGGAGUUUAUAGGCAACGGGGCAGGGGAUGGGAGAGGGUCCCGCCCCGAUGCCAUCCCUAGCUGGAAUCUCUUUUGACUUUCUAGUGCCACAGCGUCGACUCCAUCCUAGUAAUAGGAGUAGGAGCCUGGGACUAGGAGGAGCCAUUACUUCUCCCUCACACUUACACUCUCUCAGUGUAAUUUUUUUUUUUUGCGUUAUUAAUAAAUUUAAAUCAUAUGCUACAUGAUAUUAAUUUAAAUUUAAAAUUCAAAUUAUGCACAUAUAACAUACAUUUUAAACUAUUAAUGUAAAAAAAAUUAAUAUAUUGCCAGUGCAUCGUGAAAAGUUAAUUCAUAAAUUAUACCCAAUAGUAAUUAGCAAGUGUCAGUAGAAUUCUUUGCUAAAAUGUCUUGGUUUAGUAACUAGGAGUAGGGAUUCAAGAUUUAGAGAUUCCAAGUCUAAUAAACCAUCGUUUGAUAAAUCAAUUCAGUAUUUAAACUUAAUAGAUGCAACAGGUGCGUUUGAUAACUAAAAUUAGACAAUUGAAUUAAUUAAGUGUCAUUGAAAUUUUUUAGGUAAUACUUGUUCUUAAAAAUAAGUUAUGCACUAUGCAUUUAUUACAGACUGCGAUAUAUACUUAAAUAUAUUUGAUUUAAUACUUAACAAUCCAAUAACUAAAUGAAUUCAAAUUUUAAAUUUAUCAAACCGUCCCUAAAUCUUCUUAUCCUCUACUUAAAAUCUCACCUCUUCCCUAUUAGAGAAAAAAAAAAAUUUGUAAAGGAAGUGUUUGGCAAUCUCUAGCCAUUCUCCAUAUAAUAUUCAUACCAUUAACGUCAUCCUCCAUCUAUCUUAGCGUUAGCGUUAAUAUAACCUGGGUGUAAACUUUGCAUCGUUUUGACCGGACGGAGAAUGCCAAGAAUAAAUUACUGUGAGUCACCGCGACAAACAAUAGGGAAUCCUUUUUUAUUUUUCUUUGUUUUGUGCUGUGAAACACUAAAAUCUUUCCCAAAUAUUCACAUUUUGAUCCCACUUGGCAGCAGCCCGCUGAAACAGCUGCGAAGUACAAUAGAACAUUUAUAUUUGUUUGAACAGAGUAGUAUUAUUUAAAAUAAUUAUUAUAAUAUUUUUUUAUAACGUGUGAUGUAUAUAAAAUAAAAAAAUAAAUAAAAAAUAAAUUUAUAAUAUAAAUAAAAUAUUAUUUUAAAAAAAUUAAAAAAUCCAAACAAACCUAUUACUACCUCUGUCCCGUUUUGUUAGUCUUGAUUUUUUUUUUCACACAGAUUAAGAAAGUGUAAUUAAUUUGGUUGGAAACAUAAAUUUAGAUUAAUAAUUUCCUAAAAUACCCUUAUGCUAAUCACGAAGAGUGCCAAUUAAUAUCAGUUACAAUUAAUGGGUUAAUAUUGAAAAAUCUCAAUGUAUUUAAUGUAGUGGGUUAGUAGUUCACAACAAUAUAUUAAUAACAAGAUAUUUAAUAAGGGUAUUUUAAAUAAUUUGAAAGAUUACUAUAUUUCUUAAUGAGAAAGUGGAUUAUAAUUUGGGACAGACAAAAAAGGAAAACAAGACUAUCAAAGUGGGACGGAGGGAGUAGUAUAAUUUUGAGAGGCACUAUCUAGAAAGUACUGGCACAUUUUCCAAGAUAUUUAUCCAAAAUGUCAGUACUACUAGUGCGAGUGCUGAUGAUAACGACGCUCAUUUUGUUUUUUUCUUUUUCAAAUAUUUGACCCGAAAUUUCUGGUAAUUACGGUAUUGGUCGGGGGAUUGCCUCCGGAGCGUCGGUAACAACGAUGCCGGAGGAGAGAGACGCAACGACAGCUAGUCAGCAGAAAUUUCGGCAAACCUAUCCUAUCAACCCACCAUGUCUGCAAAAGUACAGCGGCUGCAGGGUCAUACUGUACUACUACUAAAUACUACCAUGACGAAUUUGGAAUCGUGGAUCAUUAUUCAUCCGUAGCUUGAUUACUAACGCUCCCUGUAGUUAUACAAAUUCCAGAAAAAAUUGGUCGUUGUGUCGAGAGUGUUAAGAGUUUGAGUCCCACUGUCACUCUUGACGAGUAGUCUGUAAAAAAACGCACUUUAUAAACCGUCUUAUACAUAACUGAUAUCGAUGUAUCUUUGUCUUAGAAUCGGUAGUGGGUCUGUCUUCCUUCAAAGCUUUCGUCGUUCUAGUAAUGAUAGCACACUUGUUGUCGUUCUAGUAAUGAUAAUAUAUCUGUCGUCGUUCUAAUAAAAACAAAGUCACCGUAUCGCGCGUUCGAAUCUCACUACUAUCAUUCUUGUUUGAUAGAUAAUCUGCAAGAACCACUGUAUAUCAUGUAUAUAUGUGUUGGACUGACCUUUCUUCCUCCAAUGAAGAGUAAUAGACUAAUGCCAUUAGACGUUUAGAUAAAAGGAAUAUUAUUAUAUACUCUUUUUUUUUGUGAUGCGAUGCACGUGAGAGAUAAAAAGAUGAUUGAAAAUACGAAAAAGUGAAUUGAAAAAUGUGUUUACGAAGCAGACAAAAUAUUAUCUGGGAUAAUUUGUCAUCCAAUUAGGGAUAAAAAGGCGAUGUAUAUGACUAAAACAUUUAAUAUAUAUUCAAUAUAAUAUAAUGGUGUAUUUAUGCACAUAAAAUCUAAACGUAUACAGUGAUCGAACAGAAUCGCCCAAAAUACAAUUGUACCGAAUCUUUGUCGUUGUCGCGGGCGCCAAAGAAUAAAGAACAGCGCGCAGCAGGAAUGCAAGGUAAUUAUCGCGUUUGAGGACCAAGCAAGUGACCAGUGAGGCGGCUCGAAACAACGUCAACAAGACACAGGAGUGUGAGGCGGCUCGAAUUAAAACUUCAACAAGACACGAGAGCGUGGAGAUUAGACCAAAGAAAAUGACACUUGAGACCAACAAACUCCGGGCGGCGUUAAUUUAUUGACGAUGAAGUACUAUUGACGUCAACGCUAGUACUAAAAAUUACGGUCCCUGGCAGCGGCUGUACCGGACAACAUGGGCAUUAGGAUUUGGGAAGCACUUAUUAAUCCCUGUGUUAAUCAACACCCAACACAGCCUAAUCUUAAUACUCAACCACCUUUUCCUCAAAGCAAGCAUUUUGAUUUUAAAGAUUAGUGACACCACUGCUUUCUAAUCAUAAUCAACAAGCGCCGUUUGAGUAUGCUACCGAAUCUCAUGCAAAAUUAACUGCUGCGGUAAAUAACUAUCUUUACGUCUUAAUUUUGAUGGAACCAAUUCGCACUAGCUAGCUACCACAUUUGAACCCAUUUUCCGGAACAAAAAAAAAAAGAAGAAGAAGAAAGAAAUGGAAGCAACAUCGUCAUUAUGAAAUGCUCUUACUAAUCACUAGGUGUUAGUCAAAAUCUCUCAAAAUCAUUAUACGAUCUUCAGAAUGAUCAUCAUUGCAAUUGCUUUUGCUGUGGCACCGAGAAACAGAGACUUAUUUUAUUGCCUUCUCUUUUUGGCAUCUGCCGUCCGCAAAAUUAAUGCACACUUUCUUCUAAUGCUCUGCUUAUUUCGAUUCGCACCACUUUUGAAAUCCGUAACCAUUUUUAGAGUGAAAUUAGGCUUUACAGUCAUUUUUCUGUCAAAAAAUUACGUCAUUUUUCAUGAUUAUAUUUUUCUAUUAGUCACAUACAUCAACUCGCUAUAAUAAUUUUUUUUACAAAAAAAUGCAAUCCAAACAAUUUAGAAGAACGAAACGAAACGAAACUCUUAAAGAUAAUCAAUACUUGCCACAUAGAGACAAUUCUCAAAAAAAAAAAAAACAAAAAAAUCCUUCAUUUAUCAUGUGUCCUUUCAGGCUUUUGCAAUCCAUAAUAAAUAUUCAGCCGAUCGAUAUGGUUGUUAGUAAUAAAUAAAUACCAUAGGAGAAUCAUACGUGGAUGGCUACAAGAAAUCGGGGUCUUGACUAACUGCGUUAAUGAAUCAUCCGUGCUUACCUCAAAAAAGCAAAAAAAAAACUCGUACGUUUACGUUUUGCAUGUGCUUGUUUUGUUUUGGAUUCAUCCCAUGUACGGGCUUUUAUUUAUACAAGUAAGUAGUAAGAAUCAGAAGAAUCUUCAUGCGGCUAAAUAAAUUUGAGAUUCUUUCCAAAAAAGUGGAAAAUUAUUUGAGUUGAGUAACGCUGUGCGAAAUGAAUGCAUGCAAUCAUGAGUCCAUGAUGAUGAUGGCAUCACCGAGUCUUGAUAAAUGCGCUUUGAGAAACCUCUGCGUCGGGUUUCCUGAUCCUGAGCAGCUAGCCAGCAAGCUACCUUACUUAGCAUUUCCUCUUCUUCUCUUCUCUUAUAGAAAACGGGCGAAGUAAAAUAUUAGUAGUAGUGUUCCAUUUGGAGCUACGGUGCUUUUCAUAAAAACGCAUUUUCAGGUAUUAAAAAUAUUUAUUUUUGAAGUGUUUGGUGAACUCCGUUCCAUAUAAUAAUCAAAUCAAGGGCGGAGCUUUUAGUGUUAAAAUUUCUUCUAGCAAAAGUUAAAAUUUGAUACUUUUUCAAAGAAUAACUUGUGUGUUUUUUAAAAAUAAAAUAUUAAAUUUAAUUAUUUUAUUCUAUUUCAUGAACUAAGUAACGAGAUAAAUAUAUUUAAAAUUGCUCACGAUCCAAUAUAAUAAAUACUUAUUGAACCGUGAAUCCAAAUAAUAUAUAGUUAAAAGUACUUGAACUCUUAAUAAGUGUGUUUAUUAAAAACUUUAUUUAAUGACAUACUUUUCAAUAAGUUAUCGCAAUCCCAAACUAACCCUGAUUCGACACUAACUAUGAUCUAAAGUGAGAAAAAAAAUUAACCAAUUGUACCGUACAUCAUGAUAUUUGGUUGUUUGGGUGUAUCGAAUGCAAUGCCUGGCUAGCAAGCUGAGCAGGAGAAGCCCAGGAGAUCUGCCUUAUCAAUCCACAUACACUCGAGUGAUAGACUCCAGGCCCACGCCCACCUUUAAUAGCCCAAACCGCAAGACUCGAAUGAAUGAUAGACGCGGCCGCUGCAGGCAGACGAAGAACAUGACGACAACUACUAACUAAAAGUCGUGUAGUUCAUGAGAGAUUUUCCAGAUUGCAAAAGUGGGGAUCAUCGUCGGUAACACAGCUGGGAAAUUUUCAAUUUUACCAAAAAUGCAAUCAUCCACAUCCUCAUCAGUCAUCACCCCCGUGACCCGUGAGGGGUUGGAUGUAUUGUGGCUAUCCGCCAAAGGUGCAGUUUUGAUCACGACAUCUGAAACACGUAAUGGUGUUUUUAUUAAUAAUAAUAAGGAAAAUCUUGUUCCAAAUACUAACAUACAAACUUUUUGAUUUUAAGAAUUUUAUAGCAUUUGUUUUUGUACCAUUUAGAUAUGUAAAAAUUUUUAAUCUCUUUCUUUCUUUUUUGGAUGAAUUCUAUUAAUAAUUCCAAGGAAAUCUUAGUAAAAUAAGAGAGACAUUGAACUUUAGCUCAGCGGCUCUCACCGAAGCCUUUAAGAUUUGUUGAAAUGAAAGGCCAAAAGUUAAAUGAAAUCCCGCCUCCCACCAUUUGUCACUAGAUGUGGCAGGCCACUUUUAAUGUCUUUUAGACGGAUGGGUGGUGCACUGGUCUGGGUUGAUAGUCCUUGGACUUCUUCAGAACUCCUCUUACCGUAGUAUCUUUUAAUGUCUUCCAGACAAGUGCGUGGUGCACUGGUCUGGAUCAUCAGUAGUCCUUGGGUCUUUUUAGAACUCCUCUUCCCAUAGUAUAGAAUAAGUGUAGGUGCCCUUGACCUCCCAUCAUUUGUCACUAAAUGUAGCAGGUCACUUUAAAUGGCUUCUAGAGUGGUGCGUGGUGCACACUGGAUGGGUAGGUGAUUCAAUCCCUUUCGAUUUUUUUUUUGAAUAUCGUCAAGUUUUUUUUUUUUUUUCAUGUAAUAAAUGUAGAUCUAUCGUGUCCGAUAAAAAAUAAAAUAAAAUAAAAUAAGAGGGAAGAAUCGGACAGCCGCUAGUGCAGAAUCCCCCCAGAUAUUUUAGAGUAUCUUUGCACAACAUUAAAUUAAAGAAGCGGAAUGUUUCUCCUCCUGCCAACUCCCGAAGAGCUCCAAAAUCGGCGUCAGAAACAGCGCAACGCAACGCACGCAUUUACCACUCAGAAUUUCUGCUCUCGGCUGUAGGCCUAGUGCUGCUACUACUACAACUGCUUCCUCUCCUUUCAGCUGAAAUUUUAAAAAUCCGGACUUUCACUUCAAACUUUCACCCUCAGUUCCUCUGUUCUUCAAACUUUCUGCAUAUCUUUCUCUCUCAGCCUUGCUUCACCAGAAAGAUGUGAGUGGACGCUUUUAUUACUUGCUCUGGUUAUGAUGGCUUUCUUGAAAAUGAUUUAUAUAUGUUAAUUUCCUCUCUUCUGAAUUGGAAGGGAGGGGGAGUUGAAGCCAAUGAAUGCGGAGCAAUUGAGAGAAUGCGGUCACCGGAUGGUUGAUUUCAUAGCUGAUUACUACAAGGACAUUGAGAAUUUCCCUGUUCUCAGCCAAGUCCAGGUUUUACCGAUACUCUCGUCCUUCCUCUGUUUAACCCAUUUCUCAUACCCGUGGGAUUUUACACAUUUGACGUAGUCUUCUCCCUGGGACUAAAGUGGCUUCUUCCAAAAGGCUACUCAUUUGUGAAUCCUGCAUGCGUUUCCGUCAAGUGUGUUUAUGCCUGUACACGAGAUAAUGUGUUUGUUUCUAUGGGGGCUAACUACUUCGAAACUUCAUGACGGUAACAUGCAUAAUGCAUGCUGGGCUUAAACAUUGUCUAUGACUAUAACUGACUAUUGUAUUAUUUUUCCUUCUCAUUGAACAACAAAAAUUGGCGAUUUAUUGUUCAAAGAGCAUAUUGUACUCUGUGCGAAUGAUUGCUGACAGGAUGUCUACUCUAUUCUUCCUGUAUGACUCUAUGCAGCCCGGAUAUCUGCGUCAGCUUUUGCCAGGGUCUGCGCCGGUUCAUCCUGAUACUCUGGAAGAUGUUCUCGAUGGUGAAGUUUCUUCUUUUGUUCUUACAACUUUUUUUUUGUGGAAGUGUGCCUAAUGUGAUUCUUAACAUGGUCAGGUCCAUCGUAGCGGGAUUUAUCAUGGUUCUGGAAAACAGAUCAUAAGCUGUUGAAGUAAAGAAGAUAAAAGUGAAUUACAAGAAACUUAACAUUGUGCAUGAUUCUUAAGAGAUAUCUGACUGGAGUGGGAAUCGGAAUUGGAUCAGAUAGAAACUUUUAUUUGCAUCCUACCAUUUGCAACUAGGAAUUCUCUCAAGUAACCAAACACGACCUUAGAGAAUAAAGGAAAAAUAGAGCAGAAUUGACAUUUCAUCAAUUGCAUGGUCAUUCCAAAUUAUCUGCACCAGCGAAAACUUAUGGAUCUGUCUGCAUAAUCUUCCUUUGAGACUAAUGUACGUUACCAUUUUUAUUUUUGAAGAUAUGCAGCGGAAGAUAUUACCAGGGGUAACCCAUUGGCAAAGCCCAAAUUUCUUCGCAUACUAUCCCUCUAAUAGCAGUGUUGCAGGAUUUUUAGGAGAAAUGCUCAGUGCUGGGAUCAAUAUGGUAGGCUUUAGUUGGAUAACCUCUCCUGCAGCGACAGAACUAGAGAUGAUAGUUCUGGACUGGCUUGCCAAAGCGCUAAAUCUGCCUGAUGAUUUCCUCUCAACGGGUAUGGAUUUCAUUAGUUUCUUGGAGUUGGUUCUUUUACUCUACAGCUGCACUCAAUUGUCUUUUCUAAUCAUGCCUCUGUCUAGAGAAAGAAGUAGUCCUCUUCAUCCUAUUUCUUCUCUUGGGCUAGAAUCCAAGCUUUUCAACACCUAAUGUCAUGAAGCCUGAAAUUUUAGUUAUUUUUCUAGAUAAAGGAGUUACAAAUUGGAGAAUACUAUCAUCUGUAAAAGAUAUUUUCCAAGUGUUUGGUAUACUAAAGUGGCUAAAAGCUUUUACUUAAAAAAUGUCAUUUUUCCAACAAGGUGUUAUUUUCGCAAACCAAUAACCCAUUAUUGGCAAAUAAGAAUUAAGAACUAAACUGAGCAUGCAAGGAUUCUCUUCAAUCCUUUUGUUGGUUAUUGAAAGGGUAAGUUACCUUUGCUUAGGUUUCAUAAACAUGACCUAGCCCUCUCCUGAUGCUAAUUUCAGCAAAAGGAUUUUAUAGUUUCAAAAUUAUUGUUGUAGAUGCUAUAAAGCCGGCAAGUCUUUGCCGACAAAAUAAUUGACAUUGGCUUCUUCUUCACCAGAAUAUACAUCAGAAAAAAAUGUAAUUUCAAAAAUAUUGGGUUAAUUCCUGUGUCAGGGCAAUUAACUUAAGUGUGAAAGAGCACAACUUGAAUAUCUGAAAGAGAAGAGCUUGUGCACAAGCUCCUCUUUCUGCAGGCUUCAGGUAGGGAUAAAUUAUUCCAAACUGCUAGCUUUGCAUUUUCGUUUAUUCAAUUGUGAAUUGUUUUUAUUCUGUGAAGGCUGUUCAUCUGGUAUUUGCUCUUGCACAUAUUACUUUCUUACUGCAUACUGAGGUUUCAGCUAGGUAAAUUACAUAAUUCUUGGCCUUCUCAAAUUUUUCCUGAUUGAGACUUGGGUCCCAGGUCGAGGUGGUGGAGUGAUACAAGGCACAGCAAGUGAAGCUGUACUAGUUGUCCUUUUAGCUGCUCGUGAUAAAGUUCUUAGAAAGAUUGGAAAAGAUGCCAUUGGAAAGCUUGUAGUUUAUUCUUCUGAUCAAACUCAUUCAGCUUUACAAAAAGCUUGCCAGGUGAGGAGAUGUGCAUAAUGUGUUAUUAUGUAUCUCCCCAAAUGGCUUUUCCCCAUGGCAUACAAACAAUUUUCUUCUUCUUUUUAAUCAUCAUUGUCAUCGAGGGACUGCUAACACAUCUGUGGUUUGUGGUAAUUCACUGAUGUUAGCAGUGCCAAUUUUGCUGACAGGGAUAUGGUUUUGCCAUUCUUUUAUGUCAUUUUAGGCUGCUUGUUGUGUUUGAGGCCUUCGUGUGUGAUAUUGAUGGUUGUGAGUGCGUUUUAUGUUUACAUUUUGUGGCAGAUAGCAGGAAUUCAUCCAGAUAAUUGUAGAGUGCUGAAAACGGACUCUUCAACUGAUUAUGCUCUCUCUCCGGAGUCACUUAGCGAAGCGAUCACACAUGAUCUGGCAAUUGGUUUAGUCCCUUUCUUCUUGUGUGCCACUGUAAGGAAGUAAAAAAGGCCUUGCUCGCAGACAUUAGGAUCAGUAAAAUAGAUGCAUUCUCAUUGUUGCUUUCCUGUGGUUUUUGAGUUUUAUACUAAUACAUUACUGAAAUUUAUUAAGUUCUGUCAUGUUUGUUCCAGUUAAGUGUUAGUGAAUUGAUGUUAAUUUUUGUGAAUAGCUUAUUUUGUGUCUGCUAUUUUUGUGUACUCAACUACUGUUGUUGGCUAGGAUAUUGUCAAGAUUUUCGACAGGUCUGUCUUCUAAUUUACAUACAUCGAAUCUUUAUGUCUUUCCUUCAUUUCAAAAGGAGAUUUGAGAUAUUUUGGUUAGGUGUGGAGUCGAUUAGUUUAUUCACUUUUUGUAAUUUUGGCAAGCAGAAACCCUUUCUUUGCUGCAUCCUUUGUGGAUAAGCCUCUGUUUGUCAACAGUAAAGUUCAAAAUUUUGUGUAAGUUCCAUUUAAGAAUAAAGAAUGUUAUUAAGAAGAGUAAAACAGCUUAAUGAAAUUGGGGCUGGACUUUCGUGCUAAUAUAUCUGUUCAACUGGAUGUAUCAAGCUGUCUACAACAGAUAUUUUGUGUUGUAAAUUUGUGAUAGUUUGUAAUAUUUUGAGCUUUAACUGAAAAUUUGGACUAAAAGACCUGUAUUUCCUCAUAUAAUUUCAUUUUAAUGAGUAUGUUUCUAUCUUUUGAAGUUCUUGGUGAAUUGAAGGAGCUCUUGCAUGUUGCCUGCAGGUUGGUAGUACAUCAUCAACAGCUGUAGAUCCAUUGCUGGCAUUAGGGAAGAUUACAAAGGUAACCUACUGAGACUGAGGGGAUGUAUCUACUCCAAUAUGUGCUGAGAGAAUGUCAAAUAUAUUCCUGAUUGGUGAAGUUAUCAUAUGCUUCUUUCUUUUCCUUUUGUCUUUCCUAUUUUCUCAAAUAAUGCAUUUGGCAAUAUUUCAGCAUUUAUGUGUAGCUUAUUACUUACAUGCUUUUUUUAACUGAUUAUUUCUAUCUCAAACAAAUCCUUUGAAGGAGGUGAUCUAUUUGUAAAAGGUAGAUGAGCCCAUUGCUUAUGGAUUGAUGUAUUCUUUGAAAAGUUUUUUCUUGAAAUUGGAAUCAGGUACCGAAUCAAUGUUAAUGCUUUUUUAAGUGUCUACAAUCAAACACUUUCUGGUGAUCAUCUUUCAAUUUAAACACAAAAUGCUUUUUGAAACUCUAGCUAACAGGAUGAGAAUCUCUACAUUUGAAUGGUCUUCAUUAAACCCUACUAAUUUAGUAUAUGCAUGUAAUACCUAUCUCAUUAAAUUAAUGAGAUUUAUGUACGAUGUAUUUACAGAGUAAUGGAAUUUGGUUUCAUGUGGAUGCUGCCUAUGCUGGCAGCUCAUGUGUUUGUCCAGAACUACGCCACUACAUUGAUGGCGUUGAGGAAGCUGACUCAUUCAAUAUGAAUGCACAUAAGUGGUUCUUGACUAACUUUGAUUGCUCAAUACUUUGGGUUAAGGUAUGCUGUUGUGUUAACAUCUCUAAGCUAUGUUAUUUCUAUCCUAGCAGUACAAUAAUGUCCCAUCUUAUUUUCUUGGGGUAUCUAUUUUGGUUCAUGUUGUAGAACUUAUUGCAAAAAGGAAAAUUUUUCACUGGCUUAUCUCAUUCUUCUUUUUACAGGACCGAAGUGCUCUAAUUCAAUCACUCUCAACGAACCCUGAGUUUCUCAAAAAUAAUGUGAGAACCUGCACUUUGUACUAAGGGGAAUCUCUAAAAGGAAACGGUAAAAAGACCUUUAUAUUGAUGAGGGUCUGAAUAUUUAAGCCUCUGUACACAAACAAACACAUACAAAUAAUAUAGCAUACAUAUAUUUUCAAAGACCAAGUAAGCUGGUGCAGUCUUAUCAACGUUUUUGUUGUGUAUCUAACCCUUCUAUAGUUUAGUUGAGAAGGAUGAUAUGUCGGUUGGAAGAUUUACACAACUUUGCUUAUGCCAAUGACAUUUCAGGCUUCUGAAAAGAACGUGGUUGUGGACUACAAAGAUUGGCAAAUUCCUCUUGGGCGCAGGUUCAGGUGUGCCAUCAGACAUUGCCAAGACAAAAUGAUUCCUUGAAGUAGCAAAGUGUUCUAGACCAAUAUUAAAACCUAGUAUUUGGUGGCUUUAAAUGGACUUUAACAUCUAAUAGAAUCAAAAAAUCAAAUACAAGUUUUAGUUUGGAAAUUUUGAAGGGAUCCUCUAGAGGUGGGGUCUUUGUCGACAAAUUCUGACUGGGAUUAUUGCUAGCACAAUUUGUGUGAGUCUAUCAGGCAUACAGACUAUAGAUACUAUAGUCGGUAAUAUAACUGCUCCAUAUAAUUGAUACUUGUCAGAUUUGCAGUCAGUGGAUGUAGAUAGAAUUUCUUGUAAGUUGAGAUGUUCAAAGUAGACCUAAAUUUACUGAUGAGAUUCAAGGAGGACUUAGAUCUCCUAUACAGAAUGCCUGGUUGUUGAUAGGAGCCUUUUUGUUGUAACAAACCAACCUUGGGUCAUAUUUUUUGAAUUUAUAAGAUGACGUUUGGCUGUGAAUCUAUAACGGUGUUCUAUUUUGGUGCCAGAUUAUCAUCUUUUAGCAUGUCUCUUUUUCCCGUUUGAUAGGUCACUGAAGUUAUGGAUGGUAUUAAGACUCUAUGGGUUGGAGAAUCUACAAGCAUACAUAAGAAACCACAUCAAAUUGGCUAGGGAUUUUGAAGAACUUGUUGCUCAAGAUUCGAGAUUUGAGGUGAACACUAAUGUCCUUUACUUGAAUGAUAUGGACUAUGUGACAAGCCAGACAGACUUUGUUAGUCUGUUCAAUUGUUACUGUUGUAUUUGACUCUCAUAUUAAGUAGCUGUGAACAGCUAAAGUUCUUCAUUUGGGAAGAUAUUACUCUAGAUGGGUAUUCCUCCUUAAUUAGCAAACUUACAUGUUAUCAUUUGCCUAUAGUAUCUCAAUAUGUAUCUAGGCAUUAAUUUUGGUUUUACUGAUAGGCUUCUGUUUGUAUUCCUUCAAACUCCCUUCUCUAAGGAAGAAAGGAAUAUUGAGAGUCUUAAAAUGAUUUGAAUGCAAGGUUUCAAGAAGUUCUUGACAUUUAAUUAUCUGUCGGAGAGGUGUCAACAGAGAUACGAGUUUGGAAGAUGUCUCUGCAUCCUUUUUCUACAUGCCUGAUCAGAAGCUCCUAGUAGUCAUUACCUGGACAAUGAGAGCGUCCAUGUGGUGCUGAAGUUUGUUUUUCCUGCAUGAUUUGGCAUUCAAUGAAUAUAUGGAUUGGCAUGAACUGGAAUAUUGAAAAUAGAAUCUUAAUAAUAAGUUUUAUGAGAACAGAUUUUGUAGUAUAUUUGUAGAAAAACAGAUUCCAAGUGCUGCAAUUACAUUGGAUAACCAUGAGAAAUUGAAGUUUAAACUAAUUUUUUAACCCAUUUCGGGUGAUAUUUUGUGGUGCUAUCUGUUGAUGGGUUCAGGAAUCAAUUGAAACUUGAAUUUGACAAGGAAUUAAGUAAAAGAGCACCUAGAAACUAUGAGUCCUGAGAAAUUCUUGUUUCUGCGAAUAGUUUCCCACUCACAUACUUGUGGGUUAUAGUUUGUAAGAGGAGGCUUGAGUCUGCAGGAUCUUUUCUGGUGAGGCAAUUUUUAAUUCAGUUUUCAAAAUUUUGAGGAAUGUAACUCCUGUUGUGCAAAAAGUGACGACAUAUAGUCCCUCCAACUUAAGUAUUCAGAAAAGGCAGAGGUACAUUCCUGCUUCUUCUAGACAUUUGUCCAUGUGCUGUUUGUCUUUCAUGUUCUGUUAGCUUCUGAUAUCUACUCGCACAAAAUGCUUCCUAGGCAGUUAAUCAUGACUGAUCUGGGCCGUGAUAUUCAGUCUCUAACUCUGAUUUUGGCUGGCAAAACCACAAUAUCAAUGCAGAUUAUGUAGUUCGAUCUCUACCAAAUUCUAAUUGACAUAUUUUGGGUGAGCUUUAGCCUGGAAAACUUCCCCUGCCUUAGUAUUCCUACAAAAUACUCUUUUUGUUGUAAAUUAGUUGUUAAGUGUUUUAUGCUUUCUUCUGUAAAAAGUGUUGACUUUGUGGUUAGAGAAAUUAUUCUUUUUUUUUUUUUGGUGAACGUUAUGACAUAUAUAUACUGCAAUUGAACGUAUUGAUCAGACAUCAAUGGUUCUGUGCAGAUUGUAGCCCCGAGGAAAUUCUCUCUGGUUUGCUUCCGUCUUCUGAGUCCUCAAAGUGAUGAAGAUUGUGCUAACAAGUUGAACCGUGACCUAUUGGAUGCUGCAAACUCGACUGGAAAGAUCUAUAUUUCUCACACAGUAUGCUCAACUUCAUUUUUCAUCUUUUUUUGCAUCAGGACCUUGCGUGAUGGUUCUAUCUUCACUUCACCACUUACUGUAUGCGAAGUGAAGACUAUAGUUUCUAUUUGUAUUUUGUGCCUCUCAGGUCUCAUUGGAGUGUAAUUUCAAAAAAUAAUGCAGGUUUUGUCAAACAAAUACACAUUGCGCUUCGCAGUUGGAGCUCCACUGACAGAAGAAAGACAUGUAGUUGAUGCUUGGAAGGUUCUGCAAGUUGAAGCUUCUAAUCUGCUAAGAACCCUGUAGAAUAUUGCAAUUCUUUCCACAUCACAUAUAGUUAUUUCUUGCUCAAUUUGUGUAUGUGAUGCCUAGCAUCAUUGUUUAAACAUCAUUUUUAUUUUUAAAGAAUCUGUUUUUACUUUUUACCUUUUGCUGCGACGUUCUUCGCUGCAAUCUUUGUCAAAAAGGGGUACACUGCGAAAGAUGUUUCGUGUAUUUUUGGCUACAAGCCUUCUUUUUCAUUGUUCCAUAGUGAUUUUGCUCCGGUUGCUCCACUUGGGCUACCAACCUUCCUUUUCAUUAUCUUU
rnacentral:lncRNA from 1 species